CCGAAGUGGCGGAAUUUGGCAGACGCGCUACGUUCAGGGCGUAGUGAGCUUACGCUCGUGAGGGUUCAAAUCCCUCCUUCGGCACUCCA
rnacentral:tRNA from 1 species